rnacentral:lncRNA from 1 species
ACUCACCCUCACAUCCAGCCAGCGGCAACACACACAAUGAAAACCGUUCUGAAAAAGCAAAGCUGAGAGCCCCGGGAAGAUGCAGGAGGUGUGGGUGGGGGUUGGAAUUCAGCUCGGUUUAGAUAAACAACUGAGACCCGAGAUGUUGAUCUCUAAGGAUUAUCUCAGCCCCGACCUAUUUCAACUUCCUUGUCUUCUUUCUUUGGCUCCUUACUUUUCAUUGAAAUUCCCUGACUGGCCCACUAAGAACCAGGCUCUGGCCAGCACGGUGGCUCACUCUGUAAGCCCAGCACUUUGGGAGCCUGAGGCGAGAGGAUGGCUUGAGGCCAGGGGCUCGAGACCAGCCUGGGCAACAUAGUGAGAUCCCCCCAAUCAAUUUUUUUUUUUUUUUAAAAACACCCUUUUUUUUUUUUAAUUAGCUGCCAGCUACUUGGCAGGCUAAGGGAGGAGGAUCCUUUAAGCCCAGGAGUUCAAAGUUGCAGUGAGCUAUGAUCGUGCCACUGCACUCCAGCCUGGGCAACAGAGCAAGACUCUGUCUAUAAAAUAUAUGUAUAUAUAUUAUAGAAAUUUUUAAAAGAACCAAGCUCUGGAAUGGACUUGCUCCAGCACCUGGCCCAUCCCAAGCCUGGAGGCUCACUGGAGGAGGCCACAUGGGGUCCACUCCAUGUGCAGCAAGCACACCGAGGCCACAGGCUGCUGGGCCCACCUCCCCACCUCCCCACCGUGGGCGAAGUACGUGGAGGAUGUGAGGGAGGUUCUCAAGUGAGAUGCUCACUCACAGUUAUCCCCAAAGGACGGUCCAAACAUGUGGAAAACAUGUCUCCCGUAGAAAAUGGAGAAACGGCCGGGUGUGGUGGCUCACGACUGUAAUCCCAGCUUUGGGAGGCCGAGGCGGGUGGAUCACCUGAGGUCAGGAGUUCAAGACCAGCCUGGCCAAUAUGGCGAAACCCCGUAUCUACUAAAAAUACAAAAAUUAGCCAGGUGUGGUGGCACGUGCCUGUAAUCCCACCUACUCAGGAGGCUGAGGCAGGAGAAUCGCUUGAACCCAGGAGGCCAAGGUUGCGGUGAGCCGAGAUCAUGCCACUGCACUCCAGCCUGUGUGACAGAGUUAGACUCCGUCUCAAAAGAAAAAAAAGAAAGAAAGCGGAGAAACAAUGCUGCCCCCAGCCCUGUGUGUGACUUUGCCAGGGCUACUGUAACCACCUAUCACAACCUGAGUGGCCUAAACAAUAGGAACUGAUUGUCUCGCAGUCCUGGAGGCCAGAAGCCCGAGAAGAGGCCAGAAGGUGGCAGGGCAGCUCCUCCUGGAAGCUCUGCAGAGAAUCUGUUCCAUACUCCCGGUGCUUCGCUGGGAAUUCUUGGUGUUCCUUGGCUUGUGGAAGCAUCACUAUCGCCGCCUUCAUGUCACAUGGCAUGUGUGUGUCUGCGUGUCUAAAUUUACCCUUUUCAUAAGGACAUGGUCAUAUUGGUUUAGGGCCUAUCCUGGUGACCUCACCAUAGAGACCUUCUCCCCAGGUAAGAUUACAUUCUGAGGUAUGGAGGUUAGGACUUGGACAUAUGAAUUCUAGAGAGAGACAGUUCAACCCAUAAUGCCUUAGAUGUCAUAAAUAUUCAUGACAAGGUCAGCCUUUUGUGGAGAUUUGUCUCUGUGAAAAGCAAAUUGGUUGGCCAGGCACAGUAGCUCAGGUCUGUAAUCACAGGACUUUGGGAGGCCAAGGGGGAAAGAUCACUUGAGCCUAGGAGUUUGAAACCAGCCUGGGCAACAUAGACAGAUCUUGUCUCUACAAAAAAAAAAAAAUACAAAAAUUAGCUGGGAUUAGUAGCGUGUGCCUAUAGUCCCAGCUACUUGGGAGGCAGAGGUGGGAAGAUUGCUUGUGCCUGGGAGGUCGCGGCUGCAGUGAACCGAGAUCAUGCCACCGCACUCCAGCCUGGGUGCUAGUGCGAGACCCUGUCUCUUAAAAGAAAAGCAAAUGGGCCAGGCGCGGUGGCUCAGGCCUGUAAUCCCAGCAUUUUGGGAGUCUGAGGCAAGUGGAUCACGAGGUCAGGGGUUUGAGACCAGCCUGCCCAACAUGGUGAAACCGUGUCUCUACUAAAAAUACAAAAACUAGCCGGGCGUGGUGGCACAUGCCUGUAAUCCCAGCUACUCGGGAGGCAGAGGCAGGAGAAUCACCUAAACCCAGGAAUUGGAGGUUGCAGUGAGCCGAGAUCACACCAUUGUACUCCAGCCUGGGUGACAGGGCAAGACUCUGUCUCAAAAAAAAAGAAGCAAAUUGGGCAUUUAUGCCAGGCCCUGUCCUUUGGGAGUUCCCAAGCCAUAUAGGAAGCUUUUAUACUCUAGGAGCUUGUGCUGGGUUGAAGAGUGUCCCCGCAAAAUUAAUGUCCACCUGGCACCUUAGAAUGUGUCUUAACAUGAGGUCAUCCUGGAUUCAGGUGAGCCCUAAAUCCAAUGACUGGCUUCCUCAUGAGAAAAGAGAGAUUUGGACACAGAAACGCACACAGAGGGAAGAGGCCAUGGGAAGGCAAAGGCAGAAAUUGGGUGAUGGUCCACAGGCCAAGCAGCGCCCAGGACCACCAGGAGCACCAGAGGCCAGAGAGAGGCCAGGAAUGAAUUCACCCUCGGAGCCUCCAGAAGGAGCCACGUCUGCUGACACCUUGAUUCAGUCUUCUGGCCUGCAAGACUUGAGCCAAUACAUUUCUGUUAUAAGCCACACAGCUUGUGGUAAGGUCUUAUGGCAGCCCAGGAAACUAACACAGAACGUAACAUAACUAACUCCCUUUGGGAGGUUAUUAGCCUAACACAGAGCAUCUGACCCAGCCUGGGUCCUUCUGAGCACAGGCCCCGAGGGAAUGCAGGGGUGACAUGCCUGUGCCGCCGGCCCUGCAUUAGGCUCCCCCACCCCAGCUGUCAGGCCUCUGAGCCCAAGCUAAGCCAUCAUAUCCCCUGUGACCUGCACAUACACAUCCAGAUGGCCAGUUCCUGCCUUAACUGAUGACAUUCCACCACAAAAGAAGUGAAAAUGGCCUGUUCCUGCCUUAACUGAUGACAUUGCCUUGUGAAAUUCUUUCUCCUGGCUCAUCCUGGCUCAAAAGCUCCCCUACUGAGCACCUUGUGACCCCCUCCUCUGCCCACCAGAGAACAACCCCCCUUUGACUGUAAUUUUCCUUUACCUACCCAAAUCCUAUAAAAUGGCCCCACCCCUAUCUCCCUUUGCUGACUCUCUUUUCAGACUCAGCCCACCUGCACCCAUGUGAAAUAAACAGCUUUAUUGCUCACACAAAGCCUGUUUGGUGGUCUCUUCACAUGGACGCUCAUGAAAUUUGGUGCCGUGACUCGGAUCGGGGGACCUCCCUUGGGAGAUCAAUCCCCUGUCCUCCUGUUCUUUGCUCCAUGAAAAAUAUCCACCUACGACCUCAGGUCCUCAGACCCACCAGCCCAAGGAACAUCUCACCAAUUUUAAAUCGGGUAAGCGGCCUCUUCUUACUCUCUUCUCCAACCUCUCUCACUAUCCC